rnacentral:rRNA from 1 species
UACAGAGGGGGGCGGGCGUUGUUCGGAAUUACUGGGCGUAAAGGGCGCGUAGGCGGCCCUCUAAGUCGAACGUGAAAUCCCCGGGCUCAACCCGGGAACUGCGUCCGAUACUGGAGGGCUCGAAUCCGGGAGAGGGAUGUGGAAUUCCAGGUGUAGCGGUGAAAUGCGUAGAUAUCUGGAGGAACACCGGUGGCGAAGGCGGCAUCCUGGACCGGUAUUGACGCUGAGGCGCGAAAGCCAGGGGAGCGGAACGGG